rnacentral:rRNA from 1 species
AUUGAACGCUGGCGGAAUGCUUUACACAUGCAAGUCGAACGGCAGCACGGACUUCGGUCUGGUGGCGAGUGGCGAACGGGUGAGUAAUACAUCGGAACGUGCCCAAUCGUGGGGGAUAACGUAGCGAAAGCUACGCUAAUACCGCAUACGAUCUAAGGAUGAAAGCGGGGGAUCGCAAGACCUCGCGCGAUUGGAGCGGCCGAUGGCAGAUUAGGUAGUUGGUGAGGUAAAGGCUCACCAAGCCGACGAUCUGUAGCUGGUCUGAGAGGACGACCAGCCACACUGGGACUGAGACACGGCCCAGACUCCUACGGGAGGCAGCAGUGGGGAAUUUUGGACAAUGGGCGCAAGCCUGAUCCAGCCAUUCCGCGUGCAGGGCGAAGGCCUUCGGGUUGUAAACUGCUUUUGUACGGAACGAAAAGGCUCUGGUUAAUACCUGGGGCUCAUGACGGUACCGUAAGAAUAAGCACCGGCUAACUACGUGCCAGCCGCCGCGGUAA